GACGAACGCUGGCGGCGUGCCUAAUACAUGCAAGUAGAACGCUGAAGGAGGAGCUUGCUUCUCUGGAUGAGUUGCGAACGGGUGAGUAACGCGUAGGUAACCUGCCUGGUAGCGGGGGAUAACUAUUGGAAACGAUAGCUAAUACCGCAUAAUAUUUACUAUUGCAUGAUAGUCAGUUGAAAGGUGCAACUGCACCACUACCAGAUGGACCUGCGUUGUAUUAGCUAGUUGGUGGGGUAACGGCUCACCAAGGCGACGAUACAUAGCCGACCUGAGAGGGGGAUCGGCCGCACUGGGACUGAGACACGGCCCAGACUCCUACGGGAGGCAGCAGUAGGGAAUCUUCGGCAAUGGACGGAAGUCUGACCGAGCAACGCCGCGUGAGUGAAGAAGGUUUUCGGAUCGUAAAGCUCUGUUGUAAGAGAAGAACGAGUGUGAGAGUGGAAAGCUCACACUGUGACGGUAGCUGACCAGAAAGGGACGGCUAACUACGUG
rnacentral:rRNA from 1 species